rnacentral:rRNA from 1 species
UACUCCCCAGGCGGUCUACUUAUCGCGUUAGCUGCGCCACUAAAGGAUCAAAUCCCCCAACGGCUAGUAGACAUCGUUUACGGCAUGGACUACCAGGGUAUCUAAUCCUGUUUGCUCCCCAUGCUUUCGCACCUCAGUGUCAGUAUUAGGCCAGAUGGCUGCCUUCGCCAUCGGUAUUCCUCCAGAUCUCUACGCAUUUCACCGCUACACCUGGAAUUCUACCAUCCUCUCCCAUACUCUAGCUAACCAGUAUCGAAUGCAAUUCCCAAGUUAAGCUCGGGGAUUUCACAUUUGACUUAAUUAACCACCUACGCGCGCUUUACGCCCAGUAAAUCCGAUUAACGCUCGCACCCUCUGUAUUACCGCGGCUGCUGGCACAGAGUUAGCCGGUGCUUAUUCUGUGGGUAACGUCCACUCUUCUUAGGUAUUAACCAAGAGAGCCUCCUCCCCACUUAAAGUGCUUUACAACCAAAAGGCCUUCUUCACACACGCGGCAUGGCUGGAUCAGGGUUCCCCCCAUUGUCCAAUAUUCCCCACUGCUGCCUCCCGUAGGAGUCUGGGCCGUGUCUCAGUCCCAGUGUGGCGGAUCAUCCUCUCAGACCCGCUACAGAUCGUCGCCUUGGUAGGCCUUUACCCCACCAACUAGCUAAUCCGACUUAGGCUCAUCU